UUUAUUCAGCAAACACAAAUACAAUAUAAAAUAAAAUAUAAAAAAUAUUAUAUACAUCAUUUAAAAUCAUUCACAUUACAACAUUAUAAUAUAAUAAAUUGAAUAAUUCAUCUCCUCAUUCACAUUACAACAUUAUAUACAUCUUGCUCAUGAUUCCAACUUCUAACUUGUCAAAUAUAUGAGGAGACCGACCCAAUCCCUCACACUGUCCACAAAUAAUGUCCUACUACCCAAAAUGAUGCACUUUAGCACACUUCCAGGUUGUAAUAACUUUCAAAAUUUCAGAUCUUGCCUAGUUUCUCUACACCAACAAUAAUUACUCUCUUCGAAAUAAUCUUCUGAAAUAACCACGUUUGUGCACUUUAGUCUUAAGAUCCUUAUCUGAAACAGAAAAGAAUAAAAUGUUAAUGACCAACUUGGAAACUAGAGACAAGUAAAAUAAUAAUGACUACGGAAUAUGUCUACUCUUGGAGAUCAUCCCUUCAGGACAGACUCAUUCCAAAAUAAAGAUGAAGAGUAAUGCAUGGAUUGAAGGUAUUUAUUUAGGGGGGAUUGGGGAAGUUGAAAAUUAAUGGCUUCAAUUAUCAGAGCAUAAUGUAAAUGAAUCUCAUAUGACAACGAAAAAGAAUCAAGACAAUAAGGGCAAUAAAGAAAUAAAAGAAUAAUAACGACGAGGAUAAUAAUAUCAAUAAUAAUAAUUAUUAUUAUAAUAAACCAAAACAAAUUACAAAAAGAAAUAAGGAACUGAGAAAUUACUAAUGCGCAGUAUAGAAUAAGGAACUGGAUCACAACUUUAUCCCACCUGAUAUAGUGAUGAACCAUCUCACUUGCUUGGGAUCAACCUCCUAUCCCAACGGAAUAGGAAAUUAUAGGUUGUAACACAGACUCAAUACCACUGUCCAAAAAGACUUGACAGUGCACGGUAAUAUGUUGUUGAAUGAGAUGACACACAGACUCAAUUCCAAGUUUAAAAAUCAACCUUAUUUAAAAGUUACAAACAU
rnacentral:lncRNA from 1 species